rnacentral:piRNA from 2 species
UAGUCAGAGCAUGUUGGCAUGGAGGCC